AGUCAGCGGCAGCGCGAGUAGUUUACUACUUGGCGGCGAGCGGCGGACGGCUGAGUAACGCGUAGGAACAUACCCCAAAGUGAGGGAUAAGCACCAGAAAUGGUGUCUAAUACCGCAUGUGCUCUAAGGAGUAAAGCUUCGGCGCUUUGGGAAUGGCCUGCGUCUGAUUAGCUUGUUGGUGAGGUAAAAGCUCACCAAGGCGACGAUCAGUAGCUGGUCUGAGAGGAUGAUCAGCCAGACUGGGACUGAGACACGGCCCAGACUCCUACGGGAGGCAGCAGUAGGGAAUUUUCCACAAUGGGCGAAAGCCUGAUGGAGCAACGCCGCGUGCAGGAUGAAUGCCUUAGGGUUGUAAACUGCUUUUAUAUGUGACGAUUAUGACUGUAGCAUAUGAAUAAGGAUCGGCUAACUCCGUGCCAGCAGCCGCGGUCAUACGGAGGAUCCAAGCGUUAUCCGGAAUUACUGGGCGUAAAGAGUUGCGUAGGUGGCAUAGUAAGUAGAUAGUGAAAGCGUUCGGCCCAACCGGAUAUCCAUUAUCUAAACUGCUAAGCUAGAGGAUGAGAGAGGUUAUUGGAAUUCCCUGUGUAGGAGUGAAAUCCGUAGAUAUAGGGAGGAACACCGAUGGCGUAGGCAGAUAACUGGCUCAUUCCUGACACUAAGGCACGAAAGCGUGGGGAGCAAACGGGAUUAGAUACCCCGGUAGUCCACGCCGUAAACUAUGGA
rnacentral:rRNA from 1 species